GGCUGUAGGAGAAAGAUGGUGGUGGAGUCGCGUGUUACCCAGGAGGAAAUUAAGAAGGAGCCAGAGAAGCCGAUCGACCAUGAGAAGACAUGCCCACUGUUGCUACGGGUUUUCACCACCAAUAACGGCUGCCACCACUGAAUGGACGAGUUCUCCCGGGGAAAUGUACCGUCCAGCGAGUUGCAGAUCUACACUUGGAUGGAUGCAACCUUGAAAGAACUGACAAGCUUAGUAAAAGAAGUCUACCCAGAAGCUAGAAAGAAGAGCACUCACUUCAAUUUUGCAAUCGUUUUUACAGAUGUUAAAAGACUUGGCUAUCGAGUUAAGGAGAUUGGCAGCACCAUGUCUGGCAGAAAAGGGACUGAUAAUUCCAUGACCCUGCAGUCGCAGAAGUUCCAGAUAGGAGAUUACUUGGACAUAGCAAUUACCCCUCCAAACUGGGCACCACCUCCUUCAGGGCGCAUGAGACCAUAUUAAAUUCUAUUUAC